rnacentral:rRNA from 1 species
CCUACGGGAGGCAGCAGUGAGGAAUAUUGGUCAAUGGGCGGGAGCCUGAACCAGCCAAGUCGCGUGAGGGAAGACGGUCCUAUGGAUUGUAAACCUCUUUAGGCGGGGAGCAAUGCCGGGCACGCGUGCCCGGAGGGAGAGUACCCGCAGAAUAAGCAUCGGCUAACUCCGUGCCAGCAGCCGCGGUAAUACGGGGGGUCCUAGCGUUAUCCGGAUUUAUUGGGUUUAAAGGGAGCGUAGAUGGGGUGUUAAGUCAGAUGUGAAAGUUUGCGGCUCAACCGUCAAAUUGCAAUUGAUACUGGCAGUCUUGAGUAUAGUUGAGGUAGGCGGAAUUCGUGGUGUAGCGGUGAAAUGCGUAGAUAUCAGGAAGAACUCCGGUUGCGAAGGCAGCUUACUGAACUGCCACUGACAGUGAUGCGCGAAAGUGUGGGGAGCAAACAGGAUUAGAUACCCGUGUAGUC